GAAUGAAUACCAGUUAUUAACAAUUCAAUGAGAACCGGUUAAACUUUGCAAUUAUAUUAAACGUGCUCAAUGAAUAAACGUGCUCUCAAAGUAUUUACCUCACAACGAUACAAUAUCGACAUUUACCUCUUUUCGUCUUCGCGUUUAAAUUAUUAUCAAUAACUUAUCGUUAUCGAAUAGGAUUCAAAGAAGCAACAUAGAUAUGUACAUAAAUGUAUAGAGAGAAAAAAACCGAACGUUUUUUAAAGUAAAUCGUAUCAGAUUUAAAUUAUUCUCAUUUAGAUUUGACAAAUAAUUGAGAAACACUUUUUCACAGAGAAGAGAAAAUCAUCUGUCGAGUGUGAAUUUUAGCCCGAUGAUUCCAUUAAUAUCAUCGAUGAAGAACAUGCAUGAAUGAACCACGAGUUGCCACGGUUUUUGAAGGCUUUCGAUCGUUAUCAUCGAUAUGGCAAGAUAUGUUCAUUUUUAAAUGCUCAUCUAUUUCCAUGACACUGAUAAGACAUUACUGAUAACAUAGAUACCAUCGCCCAUGUCUUCAUUUUGGUUUUUUUUCUUUUUGUGUUAUAACGAACUAGCAGUAUUCUCGUAUCGGUCUAAUCGUAAAAAUGAUGUACCCGCGUCAAUAUAUCGGUAUAAUUUUUCUGUGUUUCUCAAUACCUAUCGUUUGCUAUUACUGAAAUUCGCCAUUAAAGAUGAUUGAAACAUGCUGUGCUCUAUCAGAUCUACCCUCAAAAUUUUAUGGACAACAACAACAAUGGCAUCGGCGAUAUCAAAGUUAUGCCAAUAAGAAAUCAUUCGACGAAAAUAAUUCAUGGAAAAAUUCAAACUAUGAUGCAAAAGUAACGAGCGAACUUGAGCACUACGUUAACUCCGGAGUUAUAAGAAUCUUGUUAUCACCUGUCAACAAUAAUCCCAUAAAAGACUUUGGAUAUGAUAUUUCUGAUUUUUGUGAUAUUCAUCCUGAAUAUAAUUAAGAAAUGCUCAAAUUGGAAGUAUUAAAUAUGCUAAUUGUAUAUCUGACAAUAAUAAUAAUUAUUGCGAAUAAUUAAAUUAUACUCUAUCUCAUUCUCAAUCAUAGUAAUUAGACCAACACGAAUGAUUUAACAAAAUUUUAGAAAGUGUUAAAGUGUCUGGAGGAAAAUAUAAAGAUUAUUACAUAUGGGCGGAUCCUUUCAAUGAAACUGACGUGGUGAAAUUGAAGUGACUACCAAAUAAUUGGCUCGGUGUAUUUGAGAAUCCAGAUUGGACUUAUUAUUCACAUCGAAAGUAAAUAUAUUUUCAUCGAUUUCUUCGAAAACAACGAGAUCCGAAUUACAAAAAUUCUGUGAUGAUAUUCGAAUUACAACAAAUAUGUUUCAAUGAAGAAACAUCAUGAAUCCUUACGCAAAGAUGUAUAAAGAAGAAACAAAGGUAUACUGGUAUCUUCUGUGUAAUUAAUGUAGUCAAAUGCUACUUUAAAAGAUGCUGAAUUAAAAAAUGUGAUAGACACAUGGAUUUAAACUACGCCAAUAAAAAAUGUUACCUGAUUGGUUGAUGAGAAAUCACGAAUGCAAUCGUAUCGCUGGGAGGCUCGAUCAGAUAACGAUGUUGGCAAUGAUUUUGCUUGAUGUUGCGAUAACUUAUUAUGAAAAGUAAAUUGAUAUAAUGAUUAAUCAAAACAUAAUAUUUAAACAGAUGCUCAAGCUUGUAGCACUGUUAAGAAAUCUUAUAAAAGUAAAUCUUAUCUUACCCAUGUAGAACAUCAUUUCUGUGGAAUAAUACGAUCAAUAUAGAAUUUCAACAGAACCUUGGUAACCAGUUAAUGAAAAUUAUGAAACACUAAAUUUGGAACAGUAGAAAAAAGAUACUAACUCAUAUUACAAGAUUUACACUGCACUAACAACUGCACUAACGAGGUUACGAAGUUCAACGAGUGCACUCAAAAAUGGAUUGUAUCAAAGUAACGUCAAAAAUAAUAAUCUAACGAAGAUGAGUUAAUAACUGUUCUUAUAAAUUUUUCGAAUAAUAAAUCGCAAUCGAUCAAUCUCACUAACGUGUUAGAAAAUAUUUCUAUAGCUAUAACAAUUUUUGUUGAAGUAAAAAAGAAAAAAACGAAAAUUUGCAAAUGUCGAGUCAAAAAUAUAAGUCAAAACAAGAUGGAUAUACUGUGAUCGUUUCAGAAAAAAACUCCGAUAAUCCUUCACUCAACGUAUCAACUUUCCAAUGUUUCCAAGUAAUAUACUAACUAUCUUCUAACGAUUUUACUGCUAACACUCACCAUAGUAUUAAAGUUAUAAGAAAGAAUAAAUUAGUGCCAUUAAUGUUUUUCAUAUAUUUAUCUUCGUAUUACAUUUAUAUCAUCGCGCAUUAAGUUAAAUUAAUCGGAAUGUGAAAAGAAAAUAAUAAAGUUCUAUAACGAUUUUAUAUAUAAAAUAUGUAUUCCUAUAUAUAAUACUUUGAUAAAUAUAUUAUUUAAUCAUGCAUUAUUAUGCGUACAUUUCAUAGUGUAUUAACUAGUGUGAUCAUAAUGUAUAUCAUUGGUAUGAUACAUAAUUCUUUUAUUAUAAUAACUAUUCCUAUAUCUC